GCAGAGUAGGUAAGCAUGUGUCCAGUGCCCGGAGGACGGGGAGUUGUCUCCGGGACGAAGAACGGUAUCCUGUCGCAGUGUGCUUACCGCAUCCCGCUGC
rnacentral:ncRNA from 1 species